rnacentral:lncRNA from 1 species
GGGAAACCGAUGCCCUGCUUUCAUCUGGAAUUUAUGUGCAGUGUUCAGUAGGCCUCUAUUGGAGCUACUAACCAAAAAAUGAAAAGGAACUAGACCCAGAGAGGAUCAAAUGUGUAAAUGCCAAUUCAGAGAGGUGAGCAAAGCAGGAAGAAAGAAAGAAGGAGGGGAGGUCAAGAUGAGAACUCUGCUGACUCCUGAUUCUCCAAGAUUCCAUUUUCCUGCUGCAAACUAGAGAUCCUGUCUCAUCUUGGAUGUAAUUCCUACAGUUAGACUUCUAUCAAAGGGUCAUUGUGCCAACUGGAAUUCUUUCCAAUUCGAGAAAUAAGAAUUUGAGGAAUCUCUAAGGGUAGAAAUGACUUCUAUCGGGAGACAGCACACUAACGCAAGAGGGCCAAUGGGGUUCUGCCACCUGUAUUUGUAAAUAAAAUUUCACUGGUACACAGCCAUGCCUGUUCACUAUUGUCUAUGGUUACUUUGUGUUACAAAGGCCAAGUUGAGUAAUUGCAGCAGAGGUUAUGUGGCAGCAAAGCCUAAGAGAUUUGUUAUCUGGCCUCUUACCGAAAAAGUUUACCUAUCCUUGUUGUGUAUCAUUCUGAUUCACAAUUUAUCACC